rnacentral:lncRNA from 1 species
GACGAGAAAAGUCAUGGAUUAUAGUUUACUUAUUCCCAUCAUUCUAAUUACUAUUCUCAUCACCAAGUUGUUACUCCGACUCUACCGUUCCAACAAAAACCUUCCGCCGUCGCCACGUGUCUGUUUUCCGAUUAUUGGUCACCUUCACCUCCUCAAACAGCCGUUGCUUCACCGCACUCUCCUCCGUCUCUCGCACUCCCUCGGCCCCGUAUUCUCUCUCCGCCUAGGCUCUCGCCUCGCCGUUAUCGUGUCGUCUCCAGCCGCAGCCGAAGAAUGUUUUUUAACGAAAAACGAUAUAGUUUUAGCGAACCGGCCUCGUUU